rnacentral:lncRNA from 1 species
ACAACUAAAAUAAUAUACAAUAAUAAAUAAUAAUAGUAAUACCGAUCGGCCCUAAAGCAAGUGAUAAAGGACUUGGUGGUUGGUACCCGAAACCCAAAUUUGAAUCUUAGUUGAUUCUCAUUUCCAGCUAAGUUUAUUUCUAAAUGAAAUAAACGAAAUGGAUAGCGUGCUACCUAUCUCUCAAAAUAAUAAUAAUAAUAAUAUAAAUAUAUAGCCGUUGUUUUUACAAUUAUUAUUAUUAUAUUAUAUUAUAUUUUU